UGAGCCUUGGAGAGGUAGAGAGGUUACACACUCAGAUUUCAGGAAGCAGUAGAGAAAGGGCUUAACCAAAGGACGGCGCAUGGCAGCACUGGGAACCCAGUCCGGUUCACACAUUGGCACAGAGACUCUGUUGGGAGGCUGGCAGACAAAAGCAGAGAUUACUACGGUGAUGUGCACAUGGUGUCUCUAAAUGGUUGCUGACUGAGUAGACUUCCGAAAGCAAGCCCCGGGGAGGUUGCCCAUGCGAAGAACCCAGAGAGGAGAGGACCAAUCUCCAGCCCACUGCUUUGAAUCUAGAGUCCAGACACUAACUCAAGCAGCUUUGCUGGGGACUGCCCUGAUGAAGAUCCAGGGAACGGUGGCUUGAUACUUACUGCAUCAUGGAUCUAAAAGUUAGAAACUGGAAAUCAAGGUUUCAGAAGAGUUAUACUUCUCCUGGCAGCUCUAGAAAAGAAUCUUCCCAGGUUCUGGUGGUUCGCACCAUCCUCAGCCAUCCUUGCCUUACGUCAGUUUCUGCCUACGUCAGACUCUGCCGCCAACGUCCGUCAUCACGUGAUCUCCCCUUCCUGGGAUUCUGUCUCCGAGUCUUUUCUCUUUUAGGGGCAGCAACUGUACUGGAAUCAGAGUUGAUCAGCUACUCCUCUAUGUUCUCGUCCUUACAUCUUAUUUCUCUGCAAAGACUCUAUUUCAAACCUAACGCCAUCCAGGAACCAGAGACUGGACAGCGUAGAGUCCUAAGAUGAAGCCAAACAUGACUAGCUUAAAAAUCAGCCAAUCAAUCGAUAAAUGAAAUUAUUCCUAAUGAUA